UACGUAGGCGGCAAGCGUUGUCCGGAAUUAUUGGGCGUAAAGCGCGCGCAGGUGGUUUCUUAAGUCUGAUGUGAAAGCCCACGGCUCAACCGUGGAGGGUCAUUGGAAACUGGGGAACUUGAGUGCAGAAGAGGAAAGUGGAAUUCCAAGUGUAGCGGUGAAAUGCGUAGAGAUUUGGAGGAACACCAGUGGCGAAGGCGACUUUCUGGUCUGUAACUGACACUGAGGCGCGAAAGCGUGGGGAGCGAACAGG
rnacentral:rRNA from 1 species